rnacentral:lncRNA from 1 species
GGGUUUCAGGGUUAGAUCUUGAAACUUUUUCAAGAUCAGACAGCGAAAGACAAAAAUAAAUCAAAAUUUAUCUUAUAAAAUUAGAGAAUCUCUAGAUCUAAGAUUCUAUUACAUGAUUAUUAUAUGGUAUUAAAUUAAAAUAAAAAUAUAAAAAGCAAGAACUAUAUGUUGAUCAUAUCAAUAUGUUUCUAUACUACAUCUAAUGCAUA